UGCGACCCCAGGUCAGGCGGGACUACCCGCUGAGUUUAAGCAUA
rnacentral:rRNA from 1 species